rnacentral:lncRNA from 1 species
CUGAAAGUAAAAACUCAUUGGAUGCAUUUAACAGCAGACAGGACGCAGCAGAAGUCUAGCUGGUGAACCAGAAGACAUGUGAAUAGAAAGAACCAUAUUGAACAACAGAUAGAAGAAAGAAUGGACAAAGCAUAAGAGACAUGUAGAAUGUAGACAAAGCAUCUAACAUUCGUGUAAUUGGUAUCCCAGAAAGCAAGAAAGUGAAGAAUGAGAAAGAAGAAAUACAUAUUGUCAAAGUCCUUACCAAUACCAGCAGAAGAUAUAUUACACUUGGGUGUUCACACCCUCGUCAUUACAUUUACUGAUUACGUGCAACAUUGGGCAAAUUCUAUACCUCCUCUGAUCUUCCUUUUUCUUUGCCUGUAAAAUUGAACCAAUAAUAUUAAUUCCUCAGAACUUUCAUAGUAUCAUCCAUAUAUGAUGAAAGUACAUAAGUUUCUUUUUAGGAGGCUGGACAUAUUUUGAAACAUUCCAGAGAAAAAGCACAGGAAGAGAAGCAGGGGACAAAAAUAGCUCUGGCCCUUGAGAUGGGUUCCAGGUGCCCAGGAAGCAGGCACAUAGAAAUGAGCAAUGGGUUCUUGGAAAUUCUGGGCCAGAGCCCCACAGAGAGGGGAGGCUGAAGAUAAAAUAUAGAAUGAAAAGAAAAUGCAGCUACACACAGAACCUGCAGAGUGUCCACUUGGAGGCAAGAAGAGGAAGGGGUACGGUUGACGUGGACUGAGGGGAGCCAGGAGUGAGAGCUUCUUUCCCAGAAGAGACUUGAGAAGAGGAAGACAGUGGGCAGAGAGCUUCAGAGGGGCACGGCAAGCAGUGUGGACAGAAAUUACUUGCAUCUCCACCAAACAAAAAUCUAUCAGCUAACCCCGCCCCAACAGAGCUGCAACUUAGCCCCAUCAAUGGAGAGCCAGUCUAAGGAGCACGCUGAGCGCCUCACUGAAGAGCACCCAGGCCUCGGGGUGCUUGCCAUUGCCAAGUUCUGAGCAAUUCUUCUCCAGCACGCUCUACCCUGGCCUGGGGCAAGUCCUCUCUUGUCCCUCUGCCUAGCCAGGUCCCUGCUCUAUCCAGCCUGUUUGAGACCCUCAUUAGCCCUUCUCUCUUUUAGAAACCUUCCAUCCAAACUGGAUGAACAGCUAUUUCAGCAACUCCCUAUGGCUUCGUCUCUUCGUUCACGGGAUGCCAUGUGGCAGGAACGUGGAGACGCUGAGCAUCAGCCAUGGAUCACGAUGCUCUCUGAAUGGGAAGGUGGCCGAGGGGCUCCAACAGCUCGUCACCAUGAGCCAUUCCAUUAUAGGCACUGUGUUGAAGCCCCAGCCACCGAGACCUGAGAGGUCCUAUUUUACUCUGGGUCAUGGGCAGAGAGGAGAAACAGCUGGAAAGAUAAAGCCAGAACUAGGAAAAUGGCCAUAGAAGACCACGGUGAAACUCAUCAAAUAGAACACUUAAAAUAUGUGUAUUUCAUGUUAUGCUAAUUAUUCUGGAUUAACCUGAAUUUUAAAAAUUAAAUUUGAAAAAGGAAACAAA